rnacentral:tRNA from 1 species
GUCCCCAUAGCUCAACUGGAUAGAGCGUAGCCCUCCGGAGGCUAAGGUUAGAGGUUCAAAUCCUCUUGGGGAUA